rnacentral:ncRNA from 1 species
UUUCCCUCAGGAUAGCUGGAUCUCUGGCAGUUAUAUUCGGUAAAGCUAAUGAUUAGAGGCCUUGGGGGCGUAAUGCCCUCAACCUAUUCUCAAACUUUCAAUGGAUAUGAAGUUGCAGUUUCUUUAGUGAACUGUCAACGUGAAUGCGAGGUCCAAGUGGCUGCUGUACCGCCAAGGCGGAUGUACGG